CUCAGUUAGAACAUAAAUCUCUCUCUCUCUCUCUCUCUAAAACUUCCCACAAAUUUUCUCUCUUCGCGAAAUAGAGAAAAUCGCUAAUUUCUACAAAUUGCAUGAUAAUGGGAAUGAAGUGGAGUUGGUGAAAAGCGAGUGCUGCGGAUUAACAGAGGAGUGCACGGUGGCUUAUAUAGGGAGAAGAACGAACGACGGUUGAUUUGUGGACUGUGUGCGAAGGCAGUGAAUCGUCAUAUGAAUUUCUACAAGAAGUUCAGAGCUCUAAGGCUGCCUCCGAAUCCGACUGAGGAGUUGAUAAUCGGCAGUGAAGCAGCUGAUGUUAAGGAGCUUGGAUUCACCAUGAUCAAGUCCGAUUAGACGGUGCAGAAAAGGUUCCUAAAAGAACUUCUCUAGGUGAUUUUGGAAAAGAAGGCUCAAAUUGCCUUGUCGCCCUAUGCCCUGGCACCAUGGAGAAACUUCAGAUUUUCCUUGGAUCAUUAAGGUUUUUAACUAUGGUCUGGGUUGCAUAUAAGGAAGCAAGUUGGCUAUGCUUCAAAGCUAUUUGUACUCAUAUCUCCAUGUAUAUGCUUGCUGUUAGGGCCGAAAUAAUUAGGUGUCAUGCGGAAGCUAGCAAAGCAAACCUCAGAAUGACCAUGAGUAAGAAGAAAAACGAGAAAUAUACCAUAAGAGACACAAACAUUUAAUGUGAUUCGGUCAACUGACCUACGUCCACAAGAGGAGAUGAGCAAUCCACUAUAAAUAUGAGAGUACAAAAUAUCGAGAGAAAUAACCUCACACAAUUCACCCGAAAUACAAAUAGGUUCACACAAGUGUUAACUCACAAAUUCUCCCCCUACCCAAAACUCUCAUGAAAGCCCAUAGGACUACAUUGUGAAUGCUGGUAUGUUAGAAGGAAUGAACUUCUAUUUAUAGAGUCAUAAACUUUUUUCUAUAAGAAAAAAGACUAGCCAAAUAUGAAGAACUUUGUGUUUUCCUUUUAGGAAAAAAAAAACCCAAUUAUACUAGGAAAGUCAGGCAAACACCCAAUACUUGCAGCCAAUAUAUACAUGAUAGAGUUGUUCAUUUUUCAUUGGUUUAUGUGACUGUCGAUUUCAGGAUUGGUUGAAAACUCAAUGUUAAUGAUUUUACAUUGUGCGCUAAAGCUUUCAUACCCAUCAUAACUGUUAUGUCGACUGAGAUCUCUAAUAAGCCUUAUCUGCAGAAUUGUUUUCUGAAUAUAAAUGUCCCAAGAGAAGUUGCCAACAACAAGAUUAAUGAUGAUUGCAGAUGGAGAAAAUCUGAUCAGAAGAUGACAAAAGGAAAUUCGUAUUCAUGGGCUUAUUGUCGCUGCACGUACUAAAGCUUGUGGAAGAAAAAUGAAGACAUGUUUGCAUGUUUUCAAUUUCGUCAUUGCGGAUAAAGAUUUAUUGAAUAAUUUUUUUUUCUUAUAAUAUUUUGGUGCAGGUGCAUUGAGAGUUUGCUUACUUGUAAUAUUCUUAAC